GCGCAAUAAUGUCAAUCCCCAAGAUUGGGAAGCCGUAUUAAACAACAAAAUUUGGGACCUACCAGAAGAAAGAAAUGAGAUCCUUCCAGCUUUAAAACUUAGCUAUCUCCAUCUCCCUUUCCAUCUAAGGAGAUGUUUCGCUUACUGUGCUAUAUUUCCCAAGGACUAUGAAAUUGAACGGGACGAGUUGAUUCGCUGGUGGAUUGCAGAGGGCUUGUUGGAGGGAAGGAAGGAAAAGAACAGUCGUUGGAAUGCAGGUUUGAAUUAUUUUAACGAGCUAGUAUCUAGAUCGUUAUUUCAAAAGUCGAGUAUAAACGAAUCACGAUUCUUGAUGCAUGAUCUUGUGAAUGAUCUGGCAAAGCUAGUUGCAGGGGCAACUAAUUUUUGCUUAGAGGAGUUUGAGCUUGAGGGUAAUCAAAAUAAUGCAUCUUUUGCUCGUCAUGCCUCAUUUAUUCCCACUAAUCACAUUGUGCCAGAAAGACUCAAGAUAUAUCAUCAAAUGAAGGUACUUAGGAGUUUCAUAUCAUGUAGGAAGCAAUCUAGGUAUUAUGAUUGCUUUGCGAGGUCCUAUUUGUCUAAAAAGUGCUAUGUGACUUGUUGUCGACAUUGAAGUACUUGAGGGUUCUCUCAUUACGUUACUAUUGGAUUAGAGAGGUACCGGAUAGCAUUGGCAAACUGAAGCACCUAAGGCACCUCAAUUUGUCAUAUACAAAUAUUAAAACACUUCCAAAGUCGAUUGUUGCAUUAUAUAACCUAGAGGCUUUGAUGUUGCGGGCCUGUAAUUACCUCACCGAAUUACCGAAAGGUAUGGAGAAAUUGAUCAAUCUAAAAUUUCUCGACAUUACCGAUACUCCGAACUUAAGAGCGAUGCCAAUGUAUAUAGGUCAUUUGGUGGGUCUUGAGAUGCUGUCCAAAUUUGUAGUGGGAAUAGAAAAUGGGUUAAAGUUGAAGGAGUUAAAAAACCUGAAAGACCUCAAAGGGGAGUUGUGCAUCUUUGAUUUGCAUAAGGUUCAGGAAGUUGGAGAUGCUAAGGAGAUCGAUUUAAUCAUGAAGGAGGGAAUAUGUCGGUUAACCUUGCAGUGGAGUCUAGAUUUUGAAAUUUCUCGGAAUGAAGACCUUGAAGCAGAGGUCCUCGUCUUUCUUCACCCUCACCAAAACCUUGAAAAUCUCGGGAUAUCCUACUAUGGUGGCCUAAAAUUCCCGUCAUGGUUAGAAAGUCCUCCAUGUCUCAACAUUGUGCAUUUACGUUUACAUGGAUGUUGCAGGGCCAAAACAUUGCCAUCACUCGGGCAGCUAUCUCUGCUCAAAGAACUAUAUAUUGAAGGCCUAAAUGCUAUAUGCACGAUAGGGUCUGAAUUUUAUGGAACUAAUGAGAGUCCUUUCCCAUCCUUAAUAACUCUGGGAUUCAAGGACAUGCCAUUGUGGGAAGACUGGUCUCAUUGCAUCGGGAUUGAAGAAGCAGGAGUUUUGUUCCCUCAUCUUGAGCAUCUCCUCAUUCAAGAUUGUCCUGUGUUGAUAGGAAAAUUGCCUAGUCAACUAGGCUCCCUCACAAAGCUCAAAAUCAAGUCCUGUCCGCAUAUGGAUGCGUUGCCCUCCAUCAUUAGCCUUCCAUGUCUUAGAGAUUUACAAUUCAGAGGUUGUAAUGAGAGGGUGCUGAAGAGUUUGGUAAACUUGACAUCUCUAACCUCUCUUGCCAUAGAAGAUGUCUCUAAAUUGACUUGCUUAAAUCAUGGGUUUACAAGCUCCCUGAUCAAGUUGGAGGAGUUACAAAUUGAAAGAUGUGAAGAGUUAACUUACUUAUGGCAAGACAGAGAAGCAAUCCAAAAUCUCACUUGUCUGAAGAGCUUAUCCAUCAGCGCGUGUUAUGAAUUCAUGUAUUUUGUGGCUGAAGAAGGAGAUAUAGAGCUGCCUGGCAACCUCGAGACCAUCAGCCUGAGUGAUUGCAUCAAAUUAGAGAAGCUCCUAAACAAGAUGCACAACCUUUACUCUCUUAGAAACUUGUCGGUCAAAAGAUGUUCAAAUCUCGUGUCCUUCCCCGAAACAGGUAUACCGACAUCUAUGAUAUCAUUAGAAAUCCAGGGCUGCAAUAGGUUGCAAUAUUUACCCAGAGGAUUAAAUGUUGACCCGGAUGAACUAAGCAGCAUCAAUACCCAGGGGGACAAGAUGUCUUGUUUGCAAAGUUUAGAGAUUUGGGGUUGCGCUUCAUUGCCAGCCGCUCUGUUCAGCGGAGGCAUAUUUUUACCUAUAACCCUCAAGAGUCUCAAAUUUUACUAUUGCCAGAACGUGGAGUCACUUGCGCAAAUAAAUCUAGACUGUCUUCAGUCGCUUCAAGAGAUUGUGAUUGAAGGUUGCAAUAAGUUGAGAAGCUUACCCCAGGGCCUAAACAAACUCUCCGCCCUCAAUACCUUGCAUUUGUUGAACUGUGCUGCUCUAGAGCUGGAGUGCUUCCCUCCUCUUCCUCCCGGCAUCUCGUCGUUUUGGCUUUGGGAGUGUCCGAAGAUAAAAUCGUUACCUAAUCAGUUGCAUCGACUCACGAGUCUUCGAUUUCUAUUAAUUUAUGGGUGUGAGAGUAUUACGCGCUUCCCCGAUGGAGGAUUGCCGCCCCAGCUACAGGAACUUGACGUGAGUAAAUGCAAGAAUAUGAAGCAGCCGAUGAGGGAGUGGCUCACCCCUCUCACCUCCCUUCAACAUCUGGUGAUCGACGGCCGCGCGAGUGGAGUGGGAGAGGAGGAGGAUCUUGUGCUUCCGCUCCCUUCCUCUCUGCUCUGUCUCAACAUCUCAUGUUUGGGGAAAGUGGAAAGACUGUCCAUCAGUCUCCCUCCCUCUCUCAAGGUCUUAAGCUUUUGGAAUUGCCCGAAGCUGAGGGAGUUGCCCCAGGAUGGCCUCCCUCCCUCCCUAGAAAUACUCCGGAUAAUAAAAUGUGGAAUUCUGGAGGAGCGAUGUAGGAAAGGGACCGGCAGCUAUUGGCCCCUCAUCCGCGAAAUCCCACAAGUCACAUUGGGUGAUAUUAACUCCGAGUCAAUUACUUGAAAGAAAGAAGGGAUUCCGACUCUGAAUAUUCGACAUGGGAAGAGAUUAGGGUAUUAUUAAUAUCUGAGGCCUUGGCUUCUUUCGAAGAAGGAAAUUCCAUAAUGUCGAUCACCUCCGCUUUCGCCUCUGUCGUCUCUGCACCUCGAUCGCCUCCCUAGGCUCCGCCUCUCCACUCUGUCCUCGUCCUCACCUCAGAUCACCCCAAGUCUCCAUCUCCCGAAGAUUCCCAUGCCUCGGACAUACUAUUUUCAUUCAAAAAUCAAGAUUACAUUGGAAUUCCCCCUUUGAUGAAGUUUGUCGGUACGGCACAGGGAUCCAUCGAAAGGUCUAUUUAGUCUAGGAGGAGGAGGAGGAGGAGGAGGAGAAGCUGCUUUGGAAUCAAAGAUGCAUAGCCAUGGACUCUAGAGACGCUGGUUGCCAAAGUUAAAGGGCCAAAGUAUCUGCUGUAAUUCGUUAUUCUCAUUGGAAAUGGCCCGCGGCUAGGUCUAGAGGGUUGGUCUCUAUCCAAGGAUGUGGUGAGAUUCUAAAGGAGCGAUGCACAGAACAGACCGGUUGUGAUUGACACCUCAUUGGCGAAAUCCCACUAAGUUCAUAAUUUUAGCAGAUGGAUGAGUAAACUGAAGCUUUUGAGCAUAACUACACUAGGGGGGUGCCAAGAAUAACCCACCCUUCUUCUUUCAACAUCGUCUCCUUCCCCCCGUGUUGUCUUGUUCGCACCUCCAUCGCCACCUAUUGCUGCUUCACCUCUCCACUCUGUCGUCCUAUUCCCUCUUUUUUUGUCACACCGCUGCUCCUUCAGCUCUCAUGCGCCGCCAUCACCCCCUCCAUGUUUCCCACUGGAGCCUUCCCUCUUGUCGACAAGGACAAGGUACAGAGAAGGGUUACAUAAUUUCUUGGAAAUACAAUCUGGUAAAGUGUCUCGAUACUGUAACUCAAUCGGUCCAUUUAAACCAUGUCAGUAAUAGGGUUACGAAUUAGGGCAAGUCUGCUUUGAAAUAGGGUAAUUAAGGUGAAUUGUUUUUUUUCUAUCCAGUAAUUAUGAAGUUAUUGCACUAGGAAGUGAUUGCUUUGUGGAUUCAAGAUGAGUAAAUCUCUACUCUCGACAGGUUAGAUAUAAUAAUUGUGGUUAGUGGAGUCAAGAUUAAUGUUGGAGUAUCUGGACUAUGAAUUCGGUUCUUAGAUGGAUUCAAUGUGGUUAACGUUAGACGAUUCAUCAUGUUGUGAAGAUAAUGUCUUGGAAAAAACUCAAAAAUCAUCUGCGUUUAAUUUUUUAAGUCGGCAAUUAAGUGAAGUUGUGAGCAGAUGGUUUUGUUUACUUGUAAAAUUGAACAAACAGAAGCAAGAGCCCUUUAAGUACUCAGAAUGCUGUCGAAUAGAAAUUCUGCGUUAAUUGUGGUUAAGAGUACAUUACUAUUGUCAAUACAUGGGAGUCAUAUUUGUGAUCCAGCUGGAAUCGAUGGGGGAUUUCGCUCCUGCAAAGCAGGGGUUCGUCGUGAUACUAUUUAGAUCUUGAUGUUACAAGAAGCUGAUUGAUUUGAGAAUUCUGAUGUUGAUAGGUGAGACUUCAAGAGUUGUUCAAUGAAGAAGGAUGUGAGGCAAAGCUAUGGUUGAAUAAAGAUGGGAAGCCUUACAUGUACAUUGUAGAUUUGUAUCUCAAGACUCCAUUUAAGGAUGGUCCUGCCGCGGGAAAGGAAAUAUCUUCACUGGAGGCAGUGGUGGAACACGGGUUGUUCUUGGACAUGGCAACCUCUGUGAUUAUGGGGAACGUGGAAAGACUGUCCAGCAGUCUCCCUUCCUCUCUCCGGGCCUUAUGGAUCUUCCAUUGCCCGAAGCUUAGGGAUUUACCCUAAGAUGGCCUUCCUCCCUCCCUCCCUAGAACAACUCUGGAUCUUCAAAUGUGGAAUUCUGCAGAAGUGAUGCAUGAAACGGUAUCGGCACCUCAUCCGCAAAACCCCAGAAGUAGUAUUAUAGGUAUAAUAAAUUUCUGAGCUGGCUCUUUGAAAAGGGUGCAACAUCAAGUGUUGUUCAAUGAAGGAGGGCAUGAAGCAAAGCUACUGUUGAAUGAAGAUGGGAAGCUUUAUGUGAUGGAUGACUCAAAUUACAUUGUAGACUUGUAUUUCAAGACUCCAAUUAGGGACGGUCCUGCAGCAGGAAAGGAGAUGUCUUCGCUGGAGGGAGUGAAGGAGGAGGGGUUGUUCUUGGACAUGGCAACCGCUGUAAUUAUGGGGAACAUGGAAAGACUGUCCAGCAAUCCCCCUUCCUCUCCAGACCUUAUGGAUCUUUCAUUGCCUGAAGCUAAGGGAGUUACCCCAGGAUGGCCUCCCUCUCUCCCUAGAAAGACUCUGGAUCUUCGGAUGUGACGGAUGUGGGAUUCUGCAGAAGCGAUGCACAAAACGGUAUCAGCACCUCAUCUGCGAAAUCCCAGAAGUUGCAUUAUGGGCAAAUUUUUAGUGAGCUGAAGCUUUUGGGCGUAACUAGGGUUCGUCUCCUUCCCCCCCGUAGUCUGCACUGCAGCUUAAUCACCUACCUUUGCUUCUUCGGCUCUCCACACCAUCAUCCUCACCUUCAUUUCCCUCUGUCACGAGCCACUCAUCAGCUCUCCCAUGACAAGGACAGGGUACGAAAAGUGCCUAUUACAAACUUGGAAGUACAAUCUGGUGUGACUUCAAGAGUUGUUCAAUUAAGAAGGGUGUGUGAGGCAAAGCUACAGUUGAAUGAAGACAGGAAGCCUUACGUGACGGAUAACUCAAACUACAUUGUAGAGUUGCAUUUCAAGACUCCAAUUAAGGACGCCUGCUGCAGGAAGAAGAUAUCUCCGCUGGAGGGAGUGGUGGACCGCGAUUUGUUCUUAGACAUGGCGACAGCUGAGAUUAUUUCCAUUAAAACCAGUGUAGAUGUGAAGGCGAAGUAACAUUUUUACCCAGCAGUCACCUUGAUGAGAAUUGUAAUCUUCAUUAGAUUUCAAUAGAUUGUUUCUUGCUUCUUCUUUUUUUAUGUGUAAUCAUGUUUAAUUUGUUCUAAUCGACUCAAAUGUCCAGAUGGGUCCUCCCACGCUUUAAGUGUAAAUCAUUCAAUUUGUGGCAGCCCUUGUAAUGCUCAUUAUCAAGCCAUUUUGAAUAUACUCUGCUCAUCAGUUUCUGCUGUUAUGA